UAGAGUUUGAUCAUGGCUCAGAUUGAACGCUGGCGGCAGGCCUAACACAUGCAAGUCGGGUGGUAGCACAGGAGAGCUUGCUCUCUGGGUGACGAGCGGCGGACGGGUGAGUAAUGUCUGGGAAACUGCCUGAUGGAGGGGGAUAACUACUGGAAACGGUAGCUAAUACCGCAUAACGUCUACGGACCAAAGUGGGGGACCUUCGGGCCUCAUGCCAUCAGAUGUGCCCAGAUGGGAUUAGCUAGUAGGUGGGGUAAUGGCUCGCCUAGGCGACGAUCCCUAGCUGGUCUGAGAGGAUGACCAGCCACACUGGAACUGAGACACGGUCCAGACUCCUACGGGAGGCAGCAGUGGGGAAUAUUGCACAAUGGGCGCAAGCCUGAUGCAGCCAUGCCGCGUGUGUGAAGAAGGCCUUCGGGUUGUAAAGCACUUUCAGCGAGGAGGAAGGGUAGUGUGUUAAUAGCACAUUGCAUUGACGUUACUCGCAGAAGAAGCACCGGCUAACUCCGUGCCAGCAGCCGCGGUAAUACGGAGGGUGCAAGCGUUAAUCGGAAUUACUGGGCGUAAAGCGCACGCAGGCGGUUUGUUAAGUCAGAUGUGAAAUCCCCGCGCUUAACGUGGGAACUGCAUUUGAAACUGGCAAGCUAGAGUCUUGUAGAGGGGGGUAGAAUUCCAGGUGUAGCGGUGAAAUGCGUAGAGAUCUGGAGGAAUACCGGUGGCGAAGGCGGCCCCCUGGACAAAGACUACGUCAGUCAAGAG
rnacentral:rRNA from 1 species